rnacentral:rRNA from 1 species
UACGUAGGGGGCAAGCGUUGUCCGGAAUUAUUGGGCGUAAAGAGCUUGUAGGCGGUCUGUCGCGUCUGCUGUGAAAAUCCGGGGCUCAACCCCGGACUUGCAGUGGGUACGGGCAGACUAGAGUGUGGUAGGGGAGACUGGAAUUCCUGGUGUAGCGGUGAAAUGCGCAGAUAUCAGGAGGAACACCGGUGGCGAAGGCGGGUCUCUGGGCCGUAACUGACGCUGAGGAGCGAAAGCAUGGGGAGCGAACAGG